rnacentral:lncRNA from 1 species
GUUGAAGGAAAGAAGAGAUGACGAUGUCGUCGCCGGCCUCCACCCACCUCCUCCUCCGCUCCGCGUCCGCGGCACCUCUACUCCCUCGCCGCGCCUCCCUGCAGCUCCCCCGCGUCGCCACCGGAGCCGCGCCGAGACGAAGCGGCCGCCUGGAGGUGGUCCGCGCGGCCACCGCGGAGGCGGCCGAGGCCCCCGCCUACACCACCGAGUCCCUCAUCCUCUACUUCAAGGCGGAGGGCACCAUGGAGGAGAGGGCCAUUCCCAAGAUCACCCAG